GGCCGAUCUAGCGCUGUUCUCUGGAAGGAGUGCUGUUCCUUUUGCAUUGGUUCUCGGCGUCCAGAGUCCUUCUUAAUAAAGUAACUACAACCAACUGCGACAAUGUCGAGUGGGUUUCUCCCAAUCGAGUAUGAUGCGGAUUUUCCGUAUCUGAAAAUCGAACGUAAGACCCUAACCGGGUUCCAAACCAAGCAAUUCGAUGGCAAGAAGAACUGCUGGGUCGCUGAUGAAAAGGAUGGCUUCGUUGCGGCAGAGGUGGAGAGCACGAAGGGAGAUGACUGCCAAGUCAGGACAGAGAAGGGCCAAAUGGUCACGGUCAAGAAGGAGGAUGUCCUUCAGAUGAACCCCCCUAAGUUCGAGAUGUGCGAAGAUUUGGCCAACUUGACCUACUUGAGCGACGCCACCGUCUUGCACGGUCUCCGAUUCCGAUACUUCCACGGCAUGAUCUACACAUACUCCGGCCUCUUCUGUAUUGUGAUCAACCCCUACAAGAGGCUACCCAUCUACACAGAGAAUGUCGUAAUGCAAUACAGAGGAAAAAGGAGGAAUGAGAUGCCCCCCCACGCCUUCGCUAUUUCUGACAAUGCAUAUUCCAACAUGUUGCAGGAGCGUGAGAACCAGUCCAUCCUCAUUACUGGCGAGUCUGGUGCCGGUAAGACCGAGAACACGAAGAAAGUAAUCCAGUAUUUCGCGCAGGUCGCAGCGGCCACCGGCAAGAAACAGGAGGAGAAGAAAGCCGAUGACAAGAAAGCUGGAAACCUAGAAGAUCAGAUUAUCCAGGCUAAUCCUGUGUUGGAGGCUUUUGGCAAUGCCAAGACAGUCAGGAACAAUAACUCCUCUCGUUUCGGUAAAUUCAUCCGUAUCCAUUUCGGCAGCAGUGGUAAAAUCGCUGGAGCUGACAUUGAACAGUACCUACUGGAGAAAUCUCGUGUAAUCUUCCAGCAGCCUGCUGAGAGAAACUACCACAUUUUCUACCAGUUGUUGUCCCCGCAGUUACCUGAACUGCACGAGAAAUGCCUUGUCCAACCCGAUGCUGGACUCUACUCCUUCAUCAACCAGGGAGCCUUGACCGUCGACAACAUCGAUGACGAAGAGGAGAUGGGCAUAACUGAUAGUUCCUUUGACACUCUUGGCUUCACUACUGAUGAGAAAUUGAGCUUGUACAAGUGCACUUCCUCUAUCAUGCAUAUGGGUGAAAUGAAGUUCAAGCAGAGAGGCCGAGAGGAGCAGGCUGAGGCAGAUGGAACCACCGAGGCAGAAAAGGUUGCCUUCCUCGUUGGUGUCAACUCAAACGAUCUCAUGAAGGCUAUCCUGAAGCCAAAGAUUAAGGUCGGCACAGAGUUCGUCAACAAGGCCCAGAACCUCAUUCAGGUGACGAACACUGUUGGAGCCCUUGCCAAGUCCCUCUACGACAGGAUGUUCAAGUGGCUGGUCGUCCGUGUAAACAAGACCCUUGACACCAAGCAGAAGAGACAGUGGUUCAUUGGUGUGUUGGAUAUCGCCGGAUUCGAGAUCUUCGAUUUCAACGGUUUUGAGCAGCUUUGCAUCAACUACACCAACGAGCGUCUCCAACAGUUCUUCAACCAUCACAUGUUCGUGCUCGAGCAGGAAGAGUACAAGAAGGAAGGUAUCAAGUGGGACUUCAUUGACUUCGGUAUGGACUUGCAGGCUUGCAUUGACUUGAUUGAGAAGCCCAUGGGUAUCUUGUCCAUCCUUGAAGAGGAGUGCAUGUUCCCCAAAGCUUCCGACGUCACCUUCAAGAACAAGCUGUACGACAACCAUCUAGGAAAGUCGAACAACUUCGGAAAGCCAAAACCACCAAAGCCAGGCCAGUCUGAGGCUCAUUUCGGUCUCAACCAUUAUGCCGGAACUGUGAACUACAACAUCAGCGGCUGGUUGGACAAGAACAAGGAUCCCUUGAACGAGAACGUAAUCACUGUCAUGCAGUCAUCAAAGGAACACCUGACCGCUCUUCUCUUUGCCGAGCCCGUUGACGGUGACGGCAGUGGUAACGUUGGUAAGAAGAAGAAGAAGGGCUCAAGCUUCAUGACGGUGUCAUAUGUGCACAGGGAAUCCUUGAACAAAUUGAUGUACAACCUCAACUGUACCCAUCCCCACUUUAUCCGCUGUAUCAUCCCCAAUGAAGAAAAGUUUCCAGGUGUUGUCGACCCCGGACUCGUCCUCCAUCAGCUCCAUUGUAAUGGUGUGCUCGAGGGCAUCCGUAUCUGCCGAAAGGGCUUCCCCAACAGGAUGAUCUACUCUGAAUUCAAGCAGAGAUACUCCAUCCUGGCUCCCAAUGCCAUCCCCCAGGGAUUCAUCGACGGCAAGAUCGUGACAGGCAAGAUCCUUGAAGCCCUCCAAUUGGGUGAAAAUGAAUACCGGUUGGGUAACACCAAGGUGUUCUUCCGUGCUGGUGUGCUCGGUACACUUGAAGACUUGCGUGAUGAGCGUCUCUCCAGGAUCAUCUCGCUGUUCCAGGCCCACAUCCGUGGAUACUUGAUGAGGAAACAGUACAAGAAACUCCAGGACCAACGUGUUGGCCUGUCUGUUAUCCAGCGUAACAUCAGGAAGUGGCUCGGAUUGAGGAACUGGGUAUGGUGGAAGCUCUACGUCAGGGUAAAGCCACUCCUGAAGGCCGCUGCUGCUGAGGACGAGAUGAAGCAGAAACUCGAAGAGUUGGACAAGACUAAGGAGGAACUCGAACGAAUCACCAAGCUCCAGAAGGAGCUCGAAGAGCAAAACGUUACCCUUCUUCAACAGAAGAACGACCUCUUCCUCCAGGUGCAAGCUGAACAGGAUAACUUGUCCGAUGCUGAAGAAAAGAUCGCUAAGUUCAUCACCCAGCGAGCUGAUAUGGAGACACAGAUCAAGGAGUUGGAAGACAGGCUCGCCGAGGAGGAAAACGCAGCUGAUGGCUUGGAAGAUGUGAAGAAGAAACUAGAGGGUACAAUGGAUGGACUCAAGAAGGACAUCGAGGACUUGGAAGGCAACCUCCACAAAGCUGAACAGGAGAAGGCUGCCAAGGACAACCAGAUCAAGACCUUGAACGAAGAAAUGGCCCAGCAGGAUGAAGCCAUCUCCAAGUUGAACAAGGAGAAGAAGAGCCUUGAGGAGACCAACAAGAAGACCGUCGAGGAACUCCAGGCAUCGCAGGACAAGUGUAAUCACUUGAACAAGGUCAAGGCUAAACUUGAACAGACUCUGGACGAGCUCGAAGACAACCUUGAGCGCGAGAAGAAGGUCCGCGGCGACGUUGAGAAGGUGAAGAGGAAACUCGAGGGAGACUUGAAGAUGACUCAGGAGACCGUGGAAGAGCUCGAGCGAGUCAAGAGGGACCUUGAGGAGAAUGUGAGAAGGAAGGACUUGGAGAUCGCCAGCUUGAACGCCAAGAACGAAGACGAGCAGUCCCUUGUCGGCCAACUCCAGAAGAAGAUCAAGGAACUCCAGGCCCGUAUUGAAGAACUCGAGGAGGAACUUGAAGCCGAGAGGCAAUCAAGAUCCAAGGUCGAGAAGCAGCGCGCUGAGCUCGCCCGCGAAUUGGAGGAACUCGGCGAGAGGCUCGAUGAGGCUGGAGGUGCCACCGCCGCUCAGCUCGAGCUCAACAAGAAGCGUGAGAUGGAACUACAGAAGCUCCGCCGUGACCUUGAGGAACAGACCAUGCAGAGUGAAUCCCAGGUCGCUCAGAUUAGGAAGAAGCAACAGGACGUUACCAACGAGCUGACUGACCAAGUCGACCAGCUCCAGAAGGCCAAGAGCAGGACUGAGAAGGAAAAGAGCCAGUUCAAAUCUGAACUCGAUGACGUUCAAUCCCAGCUUGAAUAUGUCCAGAAGGGCAAGGGAUCAUCUGAGAAACUCGCAAAGAACCUCGAACACCAGCUCUCUGAACUCAACUCCAAGGUCGACGAAUCUAACCGUGCGAUCAUGGAAUUGAACUCACAGAAGACUAAGCUCCAGGCUGAGAACGGUGACCUUGCCAAGCAGCUAGAGGAAGCUGAACACCAGAUUAGCGCACUUACCAAGGUCAAAUCCAGCCUUGCUUCACAGUUGGAGGAGGCUAAGCGUACCGCUGAUGAAGAGAGCAGGGCCAAGGCCAAGCUGAGUGGAGAGGUCCGCAACAUGAAUGCCGACCUUGACGGCCUUAGAGACCAACUUGAAGAGGAACAGGAGGGCAAAUCUGAUCUGCAGCGCCAGCUUGCCAAGUCACAUGCCGAAAUCCAACAAUGGCGUGCCAAGUUUGAGGGUGAGGGUGUCAACAGGUCUGAAGAGCUCGAGGAAGCCAAGCGAAGACUCCAACAGAAAUUGCAGGAGGCUGAAUCUACGGUUGAGGGAGCCCAGGCCAAGUGUGCCAACCUUGAGAAGACAAAGACCAGACUCCAGGGAGAACUCGAAGAUCUCAUGAUCGACGUCGAGAGGGCCAACGCCACUGCCACCAACCUUGAGAAGAAGCAGCGCAACUUCGACAAGACGGUCGCCGAAUGGCAGCACAAGUGCAACGACUUGAACGCUGAGCUCGAGAACGUCCACAGGGAAGCUCGCGGUUACUCCACUGAGAUCUUCAAGCUGAAGUCCGUUGUCGAGGAGAACCACGAUGUGGUCAAUGCUCUCAGGAGGGAGAACAAGAACCUUGCAGAUGAGAUCCACGACCUUACUGAGCAGCUCGGCGAGGGCGGCCGCAGCACCCACGAGCUGGACAAGGCUCGCAAGAGGCUGCAGAUGGAGAAGGAAGAACUUCAGCAGGCUCUAGAGGAGGCCGAGGCUGCCCUUGAACAGGAGGAAGCCAAGGUCAUGCGUGGACAGCUGGAACUUUCCCAAAUCCGCCAAGACAUCGACAGGAGACUACAGGAGAAAGAGGAGGAGUUUGAGAACACUCGCAAGAACCACCAGCGCGCUAUGGAUUCCAUGCAGGCUAGCUUGGAUGCUGAGAGUAAGGGCAAGGUCGAUGCCGUCAAGGCCAAGAAGAAACUGGAGGGUGACAUCAACGAGCUCGAGGUUGCACUGGACUCUUCCAACAGAGUCCGCGCCGAGUCCGAGAAGAACAUCAAGAAAUACCAACAACAAAUUAGAGAACUCCAGACUGCUGUUGAAGAUGAACAGCGCCAGCGCGAUGAGCUCCGUGAGCAAGCUGCCAUGGCUGAGCGCCGUGCCAACUCCCUCCACGCUGAGGUCGAUGAGCUGAGAACUGCCGUGGAGUCCGCUGAGAGAGCCCGCAAGGCUGCUGAUAGUGAGCUCCAUGAGGCAUCAGACCGCGUCAAUGAGCUUUCAGUCCAGAAUACAUCUCUCGCUGGUCACAAGAGGAAGCUUGAGGCUGAUAUCGCCGCCAUGCAGGCCGACCUCGACGAGCAGAGCAACGAGAUCAGGAAUGCCGACGAGAGGAGCAAGAAGUCAAUGGCUGAUGCUUCCCGCCUUGCUGAGGAACUCCGAAGUGAACAGGACCACACCAUGCAGAUCGAGAAGAUGAGGAAGAACCUGGAAUCCCAGCUGAAGGAAAUGCAGGUCCGCCUGGAUGAAGCCGAGGCAUCUGCCAUGAAGGGAGGCAAGAGGCUGCUCCAGAAACUAGAAUCCAGGGUCCAUGAAGUGGAAGCUGAACUUGACGCCGAACAGCGCCGCCACGUCGAGACCCAGAAGAACACGCGCAAGGCUGACCGCCGCCUCAAGGAGCUGGCAUUCCAGUCUGACGAGGACCGCAAGAACCAAGAGCGUAUCCAAGAAUUGGUUGACAAGCUACAGAACAAGAUCAAGACCUACAAGAGACAGGUUGAAGAAGCCGAGGAAAUUGCUGCCAUCAACUUGGCCAAAUUCCGUAAGGUGACACACGAACUUGAAGAGGCCGAGGAGCGUGCUGAUGCAUCUGAGAAUGCCCUUGGGAAACUCCGUGCCAAGAACAGGAGUUCCGUGUCUGUUGGACGCAGCUCAGCGGUAGGCGCAGGCGGAUCAUCCGUCGAGAUCUCCUACGAGCACAAGUCGAAGAGCUCGAGAACUCUCAGCAGCUAAACGGGGAACUCGUAUUGAAUUUAGAUUAGAAACGCCACCACCAGCCUCGUUCUCAUUAGUAACCAGGAGACGACGCGAACCCUCCGAGUAAUUUACGCGUCAGCAUAUGUACGAACCCCCGUGACUCGUUCAGCUUCGUUUGUGUCCUACCGAUCCAAUGGGGGAGAUCCCAAAGAUGAAGAAGAGUGACAUUGAUUUAAUUGAUCCAUCAAUCAUCAACCUGUCAUGUAGGAGUGCACCUAAUUCUAGACCGUUUGGUCUACGUCAUUGUUUUUUGCGAAUGACGUCAUAACGUAUGGAUAUUUCCUUGUGAUUAGUGAUUCCUACAAGUGGACGUAGUCAAAUUUAGAUGGCCGUGUGUAUAUAUUAUUUUAUCUUAACUUAAUUUUUGCAAGGUUCAUAAUGAUGAGCCGAUUGGAAGUACAGUAUCAUCAGUAAGAAAGGACGUUGACUCUCAGUUAUCUGGACGCUGAUUGAACCAACAUGUAAAAGGAUCACAACAUUUGCCUUGCCACCAGUAUGAAACAAUUUUUUAGUUUUUGUUAAGUUUGAAAAUGUUUUCAUCGGCGACAUUAGGCAGCGAGUAUGAGUUCUACUCAAAACGUAGCGUUUCGUAGGUUGAGCCUUUCCGACUGUAACUUGCAUGUUACAUUUGAAACGUUUUUCAUUCCACUUAUGGCGACCAUGAAAGAAAUAGUACGCCAUUUGUCAGUCGUUGAAACAUUGUAGCUAGUGCCUGAAGGUCAGUCUCCCUCAUUGGAAGGACAAUAUAACUAUGGAAAUUAUCAACUCUGACCACUUUUGUUUUAAAAGUCUGGAUUGUUUUGUCACUGAAAAUGACUUGACACUAAUAUUGAAGCCGAGCAGUGUGUGUAUCUCAGUGAUAAAAACAUUUUCCUUUUUUCUUUAAAGUUCACUGUGUACUUUCCCUUGCAAUAAACGACUAUAUAGAGCAGUAAACAA